AAUUUUAGCUCACUCGAAUAGCAACCUAAGUUUAGAGAAGAUGCUGUGAAAGUCUUUACAAAUUACCUUCAAGUGUUGAAUCUCAGCUGAGGGAGAUCUGGAAACGUCAGAAUGGGUUACCAGAUUUUUGUUAAGACAUUAACGGGGAGGACUUUAACGAUAAACCUCGGCAACACAGAGGAAGAGAUGCAGAGCGUAACCGUGGGUCAGCUGAAGACAAAGAUAUUUCAGAAGGAAGGAAUCCCAGAAGACCAGCAACGAUUGAUCUUUGAUGGCAAGGAGCUGGAGGACACAAAACGGCUGAUUGAAUAUGGAAUCCAACACGAGUCCGAAAUACAUUUGGUUUCAAGAGUGCCUGGUGGAGAGCAGCCUCCUGAGACUGACUCAGAUGAUGAAGUGAGUGAUAGGUCGGGUGAAACUCAAGCUCAAAGAAGAAGUAGAGAAAAUUUGGCUGAUUUUAGUUGUUGUUUAUGCUGAUUUAUUUUUACUUAUUUUAACAGAACUAUGUAUUGUAUUUUGUCCUGUGAAUUAUACAGAAAGAUGUUUUGUUUUUUUAUGUUUACUUGUGUCAGACAAAGGAUGAAAUUUAGUUAUUGUAAUAAUUCACUUCCAUUAAUUGUGAUAAAACUGAUUAAUGGGCAGUGUACAAAUCAAAUAAAUAUGAUCAGCAGAAAUA